AUCGUCUUCUCUGUCGAAAAAGUGAAAUAGACCGAAACCGGCUAUCUUUAAAACCCGGAACGGGGAAUGGGGGGACGGGGAAUUGGAGAACGGGAAGUGGGGGAACGGGGAAUGGAGGGGCGAGGGGGGUGGGAGGUAAUAGGAGACAGGGGGCGGGGGAGGUCUGCCAGAUUCUAUAAACCACAUCUUUGUAGUUUGUACAACAUCUACUUUUAGGUAUUUUACCUAGAUAGUUAGAUACAUGACACAAACCAUAGGCUUCACAUAUUUCACGGCAUGGUUUGCUUUCAAAACCCUGUGACCAUGCACAAAACCUAACUCACUAACUGCAUCUACUUACAAUAGUACUAGGUGAUAAACUUACAAUCCUCACAUAGCCUCAAUCACAACAUGUGGCUAGGCAAAUAUACGAACUACACAGUUAACUUAUACCGUGACGACAUACGACAGUUCCGAGACCGAAAUACAGGACAACAGGGCCUUUUUUAAGGAUUUUCCCGUGGGGGGUAUUUUUUGAAAAGGGAUCUUAGAUAAUAUAUUAGAGGGGGAUAGCAAUGGCCGACGGCCACGGUGUGUGGCCGACAUACUCCCCCAGAAAAUGUUUUAAAUUUGAACCUUUCAAAUACCAUUUCCUGCUUUAUGAGCGUCUAAAUUUGCUCUAAGAUUUAUGCUAAUUUAUACUUGUAUUUGAAAUAAAAGAAGGAAAAACUGCAGAAAAAAUAAAAGAAAUAUUAAAGGUGAUCUACAGUCCGAUCUGCGCAUGUGCACAAAUGAGCCCACUUUUUAUGAUACAAACAGUUUAACUAUGUUUUGAGUUCUUGAAA